rnacentral:lncRNA from 1 species
GUUGUUGUUGAGACAGGGUUUCCCUAUAUUACCCAGGCUGGUCUCAAACUCCUAGGCUGAAGUGAUCCGCCCAUGGCCUUGGUCUCCCAAAGUGCUGGGAUUACAGCUGUGGGCCACCACACCCAGCCCCUUAUGCUAUUUUUUUUAAAGGCUGUUAUUAUAAUAGUGUACAGGUAGAUAUUUAAAUGCAUGCUUAUAUUAAAAAUUUGGAGAUAUAUUAAUGUUCCUAUGGCAGAAUGAUAUCAUAGUCCUGGUACUUGAUAUUGGAGGUUUCUUGCUUCUGGUAGAGAAGUAACAUUAUAGAAAGUAGCAAUACAGUGGGAAGGAAUUGUUGUGUGAAUAAUGAUGAACCAUUUCUGAGAAUGGAUUAAAUGUGUAUGAUACACUUGUCUUUGACAACUUUUGACUGAUGUGGAAGGACAGAGGUGAUGGAAACUCUAAUGAGGAAGGAAAAUGUCUGCUGGGUGUGUAUUCUCUCUCUUUCCUUCUAGAGUCCUUUGUAUCUAGAGUGUCUGAGACUGGGGAAAUGAAGGUGACCAGUAGAUAGUUGAAGAGAGCAGGGACAAAUGCCUUCCUGGGCUGGGUUCAUACAUUUUAUUAAAUUCCCUGUUACAUUAUCAAACAGAAAGGGUAAAGAUGCAUUGAGUCAUGAGGUAAAACACAGAGGGAUACAUUAUUAGUUCUUUAAUCAUUCAUCACAUAUGUAUUAAACACCUUUACAUAAAACAGAAUCAAUCAAAGCACUAUUAGGAACAUGAAGAAAGCCAUGUAGCCAGCAAAAGUAUAGAUGCCCUGGUACCAGCAAGAGCACAAAGCUGGUAUUUGAGGGGCUCUUGCUUCAGGCUAUGGGCCAAAAAAAAUUACCAAGACCCUCCACCAAGGAAGAGGUACCCAUAGCAGAUAAUACAUGAAAAGAUGUUCAACAUUAUCAGUCAAGAGGGAAAUGCAAAUUAAACCCACCAUGAGCUGCCACUUACGCCUAUUAAAAUCGCCAGGAAAAAAAAAAUCUGACAAUGUCAGCUACUGACAAGGAUGUGGAACAAUUGAAACUCUCAUUCAUUGCUGGUGGGAACAGAAAAAAGAUACAGCUCCUUUGAAAGACAAGUUGGCAUGUUCUUAGAAAGCGAAUAAACAUGCACUUACUAUGUGACCCAGUGAGUAUUUACCCAAGAAAAAUGAAAACAUACACCCACACAAAAAUCUCUGCACAAAUGUUUAUAGAAGCUUUAUUCAUAAGCACCCAAAACAGGAAAUAACACAAAUGUCCAUCAGUAGGUGCCUGGACAGACAGUUAUAACCAUAUAAUUGAGUACUACUCAGCAGUAAACAAGAAUGAACUACUGAUACACACGACCAGGUGAAUCUCAAAAGCAUUACGCUAAGUGAAAGAAGCCCAGACUCCAAACAAUGCAUACCAUAUGAUUUAAUUUGUAUGAUAUUUUGGAAAAGGAAAAACUAUCAUAUCAAUCUACAAAGUAAUAAUAUACCUAAACAUGUUAAAAUCAUACAGGCCACAUUUUCUGAUCAAAAUGUAAAGAAACAUACAAACUAGUCAGGCUAGUCAAGAAAUUAAAAAUAAACUUUAAAAAGGCUGUGGAUAAAAAAUCUGAGCUGCAAUUAGAUCUGAGGUAUUUGGAGGUGAACUAUUAGAUCUGAGCUAUUUGGAAAUAAAAAUAGUGCUAUCUAGCAAAACUCAGUGGAUAUGAUCAAAGCAGUAACUGGAUAAAAAUUUGUACUUUUAAACCCACUUAUUAAAAACCAGCAGUGACUGAAAGUAAAUGAACUAAAACUUUAGUGUGAGAGGCCAGGAGAAAAGUAAGCCAUUUUUUAAAAAGUAGAUGAAGAAUAAUGAAAAUAAAAGCAGAAAUUAAUGAAAUUUACAGUUAACAGAAAGCAAAAUUGAUCCAUAAAACCUAAAGCCAAUUCUUUGGAAACAGAACUACAGACUAACCUUUGGCAAAUCUGAUUCAGAUAAGAGGAUAGAAAAGCCCAAACCAUCAGAAAUGAGUUACGGUGCAUAACUGGAUCAAGACUUUUUUACACAAAAACCAAAUAACAUGUACAAGUUUAAUGCCAACGUAUUUGAAAAUCUUAGGUAAGAUAGAUACUUUUCUGAAAAAAUAUAAAUUUAAAAUAUAGUCAUAUGGUAGUAGAAGAUCCUAAACUACGUAGAAAAAAUCGAAAAGGUGUUAUGAGAUUUGUCCCUAAGAAAGGCAUCAGCCACCGUGCCCAGCCUUCACUUAACAUAUUUUCAAGGCUCAUCCAUGUUGUAGCAGGAUCCAGUACUUCAUUCCUUUUCAUAGCUAAAUAAAUAUUGCCUCGUAUGGAC